rnacentral:rRNA from 1 species
CACGUAGGGUGCGAGCGUUGUCCGGAAUUAUUGGGCGUAAAGAGCUCGUAGGCGGUGUGUCGCGUCGGCCGUGAAAACCUGCAGCUUAACUGUGGGCUUGCGGUCGAUACGGGCAUCACUGGAGUUCGGCAGGGGAGACUGGAAUUCCUGGUGUAGCGGUGAAAUGCGCAGAUAUCAGGAGGAACACCGGUGGCGAAGGUGGGUCUCUGGGCCGAUACUGACGCUGAGGAGCGGAAGCGUGGGGAGCGAACAGG